CCUGGCUAAAGUCGGACGCUUAACCGACUGUGCCACCCAGGCGCCCCAUGAAUUACAUAUUUUAAAAGGCUCCCGGCUGCAGCUGCUCUUUUCAUCCGUGCGGAGAAUAAUCGAGAAUAAUCUGUCCGGCGAAGGCCAAGAGAGGAAGAGGGGAGAGAAGUUGGAGGCUGUCACCGUGAGGAAUGACAGGCGCUCUGGCCGGGAUAGGACAGCGGAUACAGAGGAUGGAUUUGGUGCAUGUUGCAGAGUUCAAGUCUAUGGGAUUCGCCCACGGCCUGAAGGUGGAGGAGAGAAAAGAGCGGGAGGAAGGGACAUUUCGUUGAGGGUGUGACACGUAGGAAUUCAUACAUUCGCGCAGGGGCCACCGGCCGGUUCAUUUGUUCAGCAAAGACGUGGGGCCUGCUCUGCGCCAGGUCCCUGGCAGGCCGGGGGAAGAGCAGUGAGAUGUGGCCCCCGCCCUCAGACGUGGCAUAACGCAGGUGACAGACGUGUCAGGAGUCUGGGGAGCCUUUGGGCACAAGGUGACGUGUAAGUUGUUUCCUGGCGGUAAGCGUGGAGCAUCUGGAUGGGAAGACAUUGCGAUGACAAGAGACAAGGAGGACGUGUCAGGUCGAGGACACAGCAGACCAGAGGACCGGGUGACGAUACCACUUUUUCGUCAAGAAUCGGUGUGUGUUUCUCCUCCCCUUGAAUCUGGGUUGACCCCACGAGCUUUGAUACUAGGCUUUAGGAAAUUGGGAGCACCUCUGCGUUCCUGUUUUACGCUCUCCUUGAGGGCCAUCUAUAUCCGCCCACCAGAGACCACGCCGUGAGGAAGCCCGAGCUAGUCACAAGGGGAAGGGCCAUGGAGGAGGGCCCCGAUGAGACAGUCAUGUCAGGGGAGCUGUCUUGGACCUUCUUGGACCUUCUAGUCCAGCCCAGCUACCAGCCAGGAGAAUGACCCCAGAGGACAUCUCGGGGAACAGGACCCCCCCAGGCCUGAAUUCCUGACUCACAGAAUCACGAGCAAAGAAAGUGCUUGUUUCAGAGGCCUCUUAACUACUGGGAUCAUUUGCUAAGCUGCAACAGAGAACCCAAACGCCUCCUUCCCGCUCCUGACCGUCUCCAAGAGGCAGGUGUUAUCGCCUCCCAUUUACGGACAGGAAACAGGAUGAGAGAGCGGAAAUGACCAAUCCAAGGCCAUCUAGGAAGUCAAUGGCAGAAGCAGGACUCAAACCCAGGCCUCUGUGACCCAAAGACUCUGCCAGUUAGUCCCCUCAGUCAUGGUGCCCUCAGAGAGCAGAGGACGGGGACCUUUCCCUCUGGGGAGGGGAGCUGGUGGGAGGAAGCCUUUUUCCCGUACUCUUUUGUACUUUUUCACUGUUGACUAUUAACCUCCUCCGAAAUGAACAAAUAGAGGUAACAUUUUCAUUUAAAAGAAAAAUAAUUGUGGGGUGUGUGUACGUUAGGGUGGGAGCAGGUGAAAUUAGAAGUCGUGGCGGGGAACAGAAGCAUUAGGGCUGGUUUAGAAUGGGGUGUUUCCCACUGGUUGUACAUUGGGGUCCCCUGCAGAGCUUCAGAACCCCAGAUGCCUGGGCCCCUCCCCCAGAGCGCCGAUUUAAUUGGUCCGGAACUCUGCUUAGGCCUCAGGAGUUUGAAAACGCUGCCUGGGUGGUUUGCACGUGCAGCCCAGGGGACACCAGGAUUCU